rnacentral:rRNA from 1 species
CUGAACGCUGGCGGCGUGGCUAAGACAUGCAAGUCGCACGGUGCGUAGCAAUACACACAGUGGCGAACGGGUGAGUAAUGAAUCGCUAAUGUACCCCGGACUUUGGGAUAGCUGCCCGAAAGGGCAGGUAAUACCAGAUGACAUCCCCGCACGGCAUCGCGUGGGGCUCAAAGGUCCGCCGGUCCGGGCGCAGGCGACUUCGUAUCAGCUAGUUGGUGAGGUAACGGCUCACCAAGGCGACGACGCGUAGCCGGACUGAGAGGUUGGCCGGCCACAUCGGGACUGAGACACUGCCCGGACUCCUACGGGGGGCUGCAGUAACGAAUCUUCCCCAAUGCGCGAAAGCGUGAGGGAGCGACGGCCCGCGUGGAGGACGAAGUCCUUCGGGAUGUAAACUCCUGUCAGGGGCGACCAAGUUCUGAGGAGCCCCAGAGGAAGAGGCGGCUAACUCUGUGCCAGCAGCCGCGGUAAGACAGAGGCCUCGAGCGUUAGGCGGAAUCACUGGGCUUAAAGCGUGUUGUAGGCGGAUCGUUAAGUGUCUCGGUGAAAUCCCACGGCUCACCCGUGGAACGGCUGGGCAGACUGGCGAUCUUGGGCCGACCAGGGGCAACUGGAACAAGCGGUGGAGCGGUGAAAUGCGUAGAUAUCGCUUGGAACGCCGAAGGUGAAAAACAGGUUUGCUGGGGGUCGCGCCGACGCUGAGACACGAAAAGCCAGGGGAGCAAACGGGAUUAGAUACCCCGGUAGUCCUGGCCCCUAAACGAUGUCCACUAGAUCGCGGGCGGUUUGACCCCGCGUCGCGGUCGGAGCAAAAAGUGUUAAGUGGACCGCCUGGGAAGUACGGUCGCAAGGCUAAAACUCAAAGGAAUUGACGGGGGCUCACACAAGCGGUGGAGCAUGUGGUUCAAUUCGAAGCAAACGCGCAGAACCUUACCUGGGCUUGACAUGCCAGGAUUAUCCCGAUGAAAAGUCGGGUAGGCCCCGCAAGGGGUACAACUGGUACAGGUGCUGCAUGGCUGUCGUCAGCUCGUGUCGUGAGAUGUCGGGUUAAGUCCCUUAACGAGCGAAACCUUUACCCUUAGUUACCAGCGGGUUAUGCCGGGGACUCUAAGGGGACCGCCGGUGUCAAAACCGGAGGAAGGUGGAGAUGACGUCAAGUCCUCAUGGGCCUUUAUGCCCAGGGCCACACACGUGCUACAAUGGCGUCCACAGAGCGACCCUAAACCGCGAGGGUCAUGGAAAUCGCAAAAAUGACGCCCCAGUUCAGAUCGGAGGCUGCAACUCGCCUCCGUGGAAGUUGGAAUCGCUAGUAAUCGCGGAUCGGCCACGCCGCGGUGAAUGUGUUCCUGAGCCUUGUACACACCGCCCGUCAAGUCACGGGAGCCGGGAAUGGCCGAAGUCGCCGCGACAACAGCGGUGCCUACGCCAGGCUCGGUGACUGGGACU